rnacentral:sRNA from 1 species
AGCCUCGGCUCGUGGGUGCCGGAAGUGGAGGCGGUUGGUGUGGUUGGCGGGGCUCAGGGACGCUGCGCGGGCGGCGGUUUGCGAACUGCGGGUGGACUGUGUAGUGACCGGCGUCCAGCUGUCUCGCCCCGUGGCGGGUGGGCGAGGGUGCGUGGUGCGCGGCGGCGGCGGAACGAACGCGGUGCGGGCUUGGCGCCCGCCGCUGGGCCCAUGGCCUCCUGCGCGAGCAUCGACAUCGAGGACGCCACGCAGCAUCUGCGGGACAUCCUCAAGCUGGACCGGCCCGCGGGCGGUAGAAGAGCCUCAUGCUCAUCCUUGAUCCUGCCUACAUCAGUGUUUAUGGAACGAGAGAUGAACACAGGGCCCUCCUCCUCAUGGACAUGCUUUGCUCAGCCCCAGUGCAGAAAGCCCACGGCCAUCCAGUGCCUACAAUGGGGACCUCAAUGGACUUCUGGUCCCAGACCCGCUCUGCUCAGGUGAUGGUACCUCAACAAACAAGACUGGCCUUCGGACCAUGCCACCCAUUAACCUGCAAGAGAAGCAGGUCAUCUGUCUCUCAGGAGAUGAUAGCUCCACCUGCAUUGGAAUUUUGGCCAAGGAGGUGGAGAUUGUGGCCAGCAGUGACUCUAGCAUUUCAAGCAAGGCCCGGGGAAGCAACAAGGUGAAAAUUCAGCCUGUCGCCAAGUAUGACUGGGAGCAGAAGUACUACUAUGGCAACCUGAUUGCUGUGUCUAACUCCUUCUUGGCCUAUGCCAUUCGGGCUGCCAACAAUGGCUCUGCCAUGGUGCGGGUGAUCAGUGUCAGCACUUCGGAGCGGACCUUGCUCAAGGGCUUCACAGGCAGUGUGGCUGAUCUGGCUUUCGCGCACCUCAACUCUCCACAGCUGGCCUGCCUGGAUGAGGCAGGCAACCUGUUCGUGUGGCGCUUGGCUCUGGUUAAUGGCAAAAUUCAAGAAGAGAUCUUGGUCCAUAUUCGGCAGCCAGAGGGCACGCCACUGAACCACUUUCGCAGGAUCAUCUGGUGCCCCUUCAUCCCUGAGGAGAGCGAGGACUGCUGUGAAGAGAGCAGCCCUACAGUGGCCCUGCUGCAUGAAGACCGGGUGAGGGGGCUGACAUGAAGAGGCGCCGGAGAAGCCAUAGUAUGGGGUUGGGCUACACACUCACCUCCCUGUGCCUUCCAGGCUGAGGUGUGGGACCUGGACAUGCUCCGCUCCAGCCACAGUACCUGGCCUGUGGAUGUCAGCCAGAUCAAGCAGGGCUUCAUUGUGGUAAAAGGUCAUAGCACGGUAAGCCUGUGACUGCCUGCCUCCCCUGCCCUCCCCUCUUCCUCAUAUCCAUCGUCUGUUCCCUAUAUCCACAGCUGCCCGGGCAGCUUUACUAGCAUUCUGCCCAUGGGGACUCUGAGCUCAAAGUGGCCCUCACCUGUGCAGCUUUCUCCUUACCUAGCAGCACCCUGCAGGUCUGGCCUUCUCUAGGAACCCUGUUCAUUUAGUCAGUCACACAAGCAUGCCAGUCCCACCGUGAGUCAGCCCAGCUCAUUACCAUCCUCACUUGGGAGGGGCUCGUUCUCACCUCUAGUCAGCAAAGCUUUUUGGGUUCUUUCUAGUGCCUCAGUGAAGGAGCCCUCUCACCUGAUGGGACUGUGCUGGCUACUGCGAGCCAUGAUGGCUAUGUCAAGUUCUGGCAGAUCUACAUUGAGGGGCAAGAUGAGCCAAGGUGUCUGCACGAGUGGAAGCCUCAUGAUGGGCGGCCCCUCUCCUGCCUCCUGUUCUGUGACAACCAUAAGAAACAAGACCCUGAUGUCCCUUUCUGGAGGUUCCUUAUUACUGGUGCUGACCAGAACCGAGAGUUAAAGAUGUGGUGUACAGUAUCCUGGACCUGCCUGCAGACUAUUCGCUUCUCCCCAGAUAUCUUCAGCUCAGUGAGUGUGCCCCCUAGCCUCAAGGUUUGCUUGGACCUCUCAGCAGAAUACCUGAUUCUCAGCGAUGUGCAACGGAAGGUCCUCUAUGUGAUGGAGCUGCUGCAAAACCAGGAGGAGGGCCAUGCCUGCUUCAGCUCCAUCUCGGAGUUCCUGCUCACCCACCCUGUGCUGAGCUUCGGUAUCCAGGUUGUGAGUCGCUGCCGGCUACGGCACACUGAGGUGCUGCCUGCCGAAGAGGAAAAUGACAGCCUGGGUGCUGAUGGUACCCAUGGAGCCGGUGCCAUGGAGUCUGCGGCCGGUGUGCUCAUCAAGCUCUUUUGUGUGCAUACUAAGGCACUGCAAGAUGUGCAGAUCCGCUUCCAGCCACAGCUGAACCCUGAUGUGGUGGCCCCACUGCCCACCCACACUGCUCACGAGGACUUUACAUUUGGAGAGUCUCGGCCCGAACUGGGCUCCGAGGGCCUGGGGUCAGCUGCUCACGGCUCCCAGCCUGACCUCCGACGAAUCGUGGAGCUGCCUGCACCCGCCGACUUCCUCAGUCUGAGCAGUGAGACCAAGCCCAAGUUGAUGACACCUGACGCCUUCAUGACACCUAGCGCCUCCUUGCAGCAGGUACUCUCCCAGGGUAGGGGGACCUGGGAAUGCCUCAGCCACAGGCCACAGGUCUUAUUUCCUGCAUCUCCCCAGAUCACUGCCUCUCCCAGCAGCAGCAGCAGCGGUAGCAGCAGCAGCAGCAGCAGUAGCAGCAGCUCCCUUACAGCUGUGUCUGCCAUGAGCAGCACCUCAGCUGUGGACCCCUCCUUGACCAGGCCACCUGAGGAGCUGACCUUGAGCCCCAAGCUGCAGCUGGAUGGCAGCCUGACAAUGAGCAGCAGUGGCAGCCUUCAGGCAAGCCCGCGCGGCCUCCUUCCUGGCCUGCUCCCAGCCCCAGCUGACAAACUGACUCCCAAGGGGCCGGGCCAGGUGCCUACUGCCGCCUCUGCACUGUCCCUGGAGCUGCAGGAAGUGGAGCCCCUGGGGCUACCCCAAGCCUCCCCUAGCCGCACCCGUUCCCCUGAUGUCAUCUCCUCAGCUUCUACUGCCCUGUCCCAGGACAUCCCUGAGAUUGCGUCUGAGGCCCUGUCCCGUGGUUUUGGCUCCUCUGCACCAGAGGGCCUUGAGCCAGACAGUAUGGCUUCAGCUGCCUCGGCACUGCACCUGCUGUCCCCACGGCCCCGGCCAGGGCCUGAGCUCGGCCCCCAGCUUGGCCUUGAUGGAGGUCCUGGGGAUGGAGAUCGGCAUAGUACCCCCUCCCUCCUGGAGGCAGCCUUGACCCAGGAGGCCUCAACUCCUGAUAGUCAGGUUUGGCCCACAGCACCUGACAUUACUCGUGAGACCUGCAGCACCCUGGCAGAAAGCCCCAGGAAUGGCCUUCAGGAAAAGCACAAGAGCCUAGCCUUCCACCGACCACCAUAUCACCUGCUGCAGCAACGUGACAGCCAGGAUGCCAGUGCUGAGCAAAGUGACCAUGAUGAUGAGGUGGCCAGCCUUGCCUCUGCUUCAGGAGGCUUUGGCACCAAAGUUCCUGCUCCACGGCUGCCUGCCAAGGACUGGAAGACCAAGGGAUCCCCUCGAACCUCACCCAAGCUCAGGAGGAAAAGCAAGAAGGAUGAUGGGUAGGGAGGAAUCCUAGGGAGGGAGAGGGUGGUCUCCAGGCUGCCUGACGUAGCCUGAGGUGCUUCUCGCCUAUGGCAGGGAUGCAGCCAUGGGAUCCCGGCUCACAGAGCACCAGGUGGCAGAGCCCCCUGAGGACUGGCCAGCACUAAUUUGGCAACAGCAGAGAGAGCUGGCAGAGCUGCGGCACAGCCAAGAAGAGCUGCUGCAGCGUCUGUGUACCCAACUCGAAGGCCUGCAGAGCACAGUCACAGGCCACGUAGAACGUGCCCUUGAGACCCGGCACGAGCAGGAACAGCGGCGGCUGGAGCGAGCACUGGCUGAGGGGCAGCAGCGGGGAGGGCAGCUGCAGGAGCAGCUGACACAACAGUUGUCCCAAGCACUGUCUUCAGCUGUAGCUGGGCGUCUAGAGCGCAGCAUACGGGAUGAGAUCAAGAAGACAGUCCCUCCAUGUGUCUCAAGGAGUCUGGAGCCUAUGGCAGGCCAACUGAGCAACUCAGUGGCUACCAAGCUCACAGCUGUGGAGGGCAGCAUGAAAGAGAACAUCUCCAAGCUGCUCAAGUCCAAGAACUUGACUGAUGCCAUCGCCCGAGCAGCUGCAGACACAUUACAGGGGCCGAUGCAGGCUGCCUACCGGGAAGCCUUCCAGAGUGUGGUGCUGCCGGCCUUUGAGAAGAGCUGCCAGGCCAUGUUCCAGCAAAUCAAUGAUAGCUUCCGGCUGGGGACACAGGAAUACUUGCAGCAGCUAGAAAGCCACAUGAAGAGCCGGAAGGCACGGGAACAGGAGGCCAGGGAGCCUGUGCUAGCCCAGCUGCGGGGCCUGGUCAGCACACUGCAGAGUGCCACUGAGCAGAUGGCAGCCACCGUGGCCAGCAGUGUUCGGGCUGAGGUGCAGCACCAGCUGCAUGUGGCUGUGGGCAGCCUGCAGGAGUCCAUUUUAGCACAGGUACAGCGCAUCGUUAAGGGUGAGGUGAGUGUGGCGCUCAAGGAGCAGCAGGCCGCCGUCACCUCCAGCAUCAUGCAGGCCAUGCGCUCAGCUGCUGGCACACCUGUCCCUUCUGCCCACCUUGACUGCCAGGCCCAGCAAGCCCAUAUCCUGCAGCUGCUGCAGCAAGGCCACCUCAAUCAGGCCUUCCAGCAGGCGCUGACAGCUGCUGACCUGAACCUGGUGCUGUAUGUAUGUGAAACUGUGGACCCAGCCCAGGUUUUUGGGCAGCCACCCUGCCCACUCUCCCAGCCUGUGCUCCUUUCCCUCAUCCAGCAGCUGGCAUCUGACCUUGGCACUCGAACUGACCUCAAGCUCAGCUACCUGGAAGAGGCCGUGAUGCACCUGGACCACAGUGACCCCAUCACUCGGGACCACAUGGGCUCCGUUAUGGCCCAGGUGCGCCAAAAGCUUUUUCAGUUCCUGCAGGCUGAGCCACACAACUCACUUGGCAAAGCAGCCCGGCGUCUCAGCCUCAUGCUGCAUGGCCUCGUGACCCCCAGCCUCCCUUAGCUGCUAAGCCUGCCUUGCCCAGGGGUGAGAUGGCACUGAAGGCCAGCAGACAGGCCUAGGCCGAGGCAGGGUCAUGGCUGGCCUUUACCUGCUCAGGCCCCCAUCUCUGGGGUGUUUGGGGGUCAGGGAGCAGGGAGCACUGGCCGUGGUCUACAGGGUGUGGUAGUCAGAAGGUUUAGGCUGGGCCCAGGGCAGGUAUUGUGCCUGCUUGGGUUCUGCCAUGCCUGGAGCAUGACCCUGAGAUCGUGACACCACUUGAGUGGAAUUUUCCAUGUUCCUUUUUACCUCUAAUUUGGAUCUUUUUGUUUUUGAAAAACAUUGAGAAAUUCAAUUAAAUGCUUUUGGAAU